CUGGGUUCUGUUGUUGGCAACCAACAGAGUUGUUGUCUUUUCUCGCAUUCAUUAAAAUGCACAAGAAGAAAUUUCUAAUGGUGAGGGAGUACUUGCUUCAAAUUCAUACUUCAGUGAAAUAAACAACACCAUACAUAGGAAUGUGAAAGCAAAGUCAUCAUACACUGUUUGCUUCAUUGUAUGAGAAUCAAUGUUUGCAUGAUAAACUGCCCUAAUGGAAGAGGACUCUGAGUUACCUUUUUCGAGCAAAGCCACCUAGGUUACUCUGUUUUCCCCAGAGUGACCCUUCUGUUCUGCAAAUUUUCAGAUUGAAGGGAGUAGCAGUAGAGUAUCAGAAGUAUCAGAAGCAAAAAAGUAAAUGUAUGAUUUGCAAAGCAUAACAAAAUGAAAAAUAAGCUUCUGCAGUCAUGGAAGUUCAGAAUUGGAUAACAACUUAGAUUAUUUAUUCCAACCUCAUCGAAAAAGAGAUAAAGACAUGGAAUUCAGGAAAAGUGAGAUGAAACAACUGAGGGCCAAAAAGUUUACAAAAUUUUCCAAGAUCAUACAGCUAAUUAACAACAUCUGGGCUCUUCUUGACUUUUGGAAUCCAAAAGGUGCUACCAGCAUCCCAAGGUGUCCAGCUUGUAGACAGCCUGUCGUGGGACUUCUCAACCUCCAUAAUUGUAUAACCUCAAAGUAAUGGGAGAAGAUACACAAGUGAUCAUUGCCAGGACUGAAGACUGUUCCUAGGACUACUAUUUGGAUCAACAGAAGCUGAAAAUGAGAAUAUCAAAGGCUGGGCAGAUAGUUUCACUCACGGGCAUUGAUCAGGAUGGCUGGAGGUCACCUGCUGCAAGAAGCACUGUGUUUUCUGUGCAGCUUAAUGAGAGGGAGCAUAUCAUUUCAGGACUCUCACAGGAUGCAGUGUUACUGAGAAUCUCAUGAGGCAAAUCCUAAAUGCCAGGAUAAAUUUGCAGAGAUAGAACUACUACUUUUUUUUUUUAAAUUUCCUUUUGUUAUGACUUGAACGUGUAAGGUCAUGCUUCGAGCCUGCUAUCCUAUAGCUCUCAAUUCUAAACUAGUUGCAAGUAUAUUGGACUUCUUGCCCUGACCCCUGUCCCUUUGAUAGGCCAGGUGAAUCCAAAUAUGCCCGAGUGCAUCUCACAGAAUACAUCUGAUUCUAGGAUGGGACUAGAGGUCUCCUGGUAUUUAGAACUGCAAAAUGAGGUAGCAAAAGCUCUAGUCAUAUGCCUCCCAUUUAUUUGACAUAUCAUCACAAACAUGUCCAUAAUUUACCAAGGUUGAUCCACUGCCUACUACAUUUGUGUGUGAAAAUGUGUCAUGCUUUGUGGAAAAAGUGAAAAUAGUUAUCUGUAUGGUGGGUGCACUUUGAGUGACUGGGGUGGGGUAUGAGCACUGUCUUACAAAAAAGUCAAGAGUAAUAUCUGACAAAGAUACUGUCCUUUACCCUGGAUACCAACAGAUGUUCUUGUUUUCAUUCAAAAUUACAAUUAUCAUUGAAGUGCACAGUGGCUUUUAAUUGAGACAGAUAAAACGUAACUUCAAGUAUUGAAGUAAUUUUUUUUUACUGUUUUUAAGACAACUGAAGAUCUGAGCAAUUCUUGGCAUGACUUUUCUCCAUUCAGUUUAGAUUUUUGUGAUAAAAGGCGACUAUAAUAAAGAGAAUGGUAAAGGAAAAUAUCUAACAUGGAAUUUAUAUCUAAUCUUCUUGAAAGUUAUGAACACUUGUUAAUCCUUAAUUUCAACUCUUGAGAUUUCAUCUGAUUUGAGAUAUUCCU
rnacentral:lncRNA from 1 species